UGAACAUGGAGUGCAGCGGUAGAAAUUCCAGUGUGGACAGCCUUACCGCGAGAUAUCAAAACAAGGCCUAUUCGCACCAGUUGUUGACUGAUGCGUACCUAUCCACUUCUGAGGUACGCAGCACUGGAUGAAAGAGGAGUUGGAGACGAAGGCACUUUUUGUGCAAAGAGUCUGUGGGUUUCUUCUCUUCCAUGAUCCCAAUAACCUGUUCAUGGCAUCAUCUUUUCAAAACAUCUGGAGGUUAAGGAUGCAGAGUUACAGAAACUCGGUGAAGAGAAGAAAUCCUUGGAGAAUGCGUGAGGAAGAAAAGAAAAUACCCCGGUAUGCUGAUGCCCUGCUUCAGCCUCAACAGGGUGAACAUUUUGCCUUCUGCUCUACGCCAUGAAACCAGUCGCAGGCUGUUCUUCUCCCCUCACAACCAUCUGAGCUCUGGCAAGAGGACAGAGUGACAGCCCUGAUAGCAUGGCAAGAGCGAAUCCCUGUUUCUGGGAGAGGAACAGGGGAUAUGCCUUGACUUUGAAUGCACGUGAGUUCUUCUACACACUAGUGCAUGCUCCUGGAAUCAACUUCCCCCGUUUCUGCUGCACGCUUGCGUUGUUUGAACCGCUCUGGAUUUCACAUGCCGAAGGGGCAAGGUCAGGGAGAGUCUUCCCGAAAGACCCACUAUAUCAACUUUUCUAAGUUCCUCAUUAUUAUGGUUAUAUAAACUCUUGAAAAAUACAAAUUAAUCUCUUUUCAGCAACUCAGAGCCACUCAGAUUUUGACAGAAAUGGGAAAUCACAGUUACAAAAACUAAAUCCUGCCUUUGUUUCCUGAACUUUAAACUACAGAUUAAUUUGACAGAUGUCUGAGCCUCAUUAAUAUUGCUAUUGUCUGUCUCUGAAU